rnacentral:tRNA from 1 species
GCCCUAGUAGCUCAGUUGGUUAGAGCGUUGGCUGCAGUCAAGCCUUACUCUUGCUAUCAUGGGUUUGAAUCCCACCGAGGGCG